rnacentral:rRNA from 1 species
GGGUUGUGAGGUUAAGCGACUAAGCGUACACGGUGGAUGCCCUGGCAGUCAGAGGCGAUGAAGGGCGUGCUAAUCUGCGAUAAGCGCCGGUAAGGUGAUAUGAACCGUUAUAACCGGCGAUACCCGAAUGGGGAAACCCAGUGUGACUCGUCACACUAUCAUUAACUGAAUCCAUAGGUUAAUGAGGCGAACCGGGGGAACUGAAACAUCUAAGUACCCCGAGGAAAAGAAAUCAACCGAGAUUCCCCCAGUAGCGGCGAGCGAACGGGGAGGAGCCCAGAGCCUGAAUCAGCAUGUGUGUUAGUGGAAGCGUCUGGAAAGUCGCGCGAUACAGGGUGACAGCCCCGUACACAAAAGCGCAUGUGUUGUGAGCUCGAUGAGUAGGGCGGGACACGUGGUAUCCUGUCUGAAUAUGGGGGGACCAUCCUCCAAGGCUAAAUACUCCUGACUGACCGAUAGUGAACCAGUACCGUGAGGGAAAGGCGAAAAGAACCCCGGCGAGGGGAGUGAAAAAGAACCUGAAACCGUGUACGUACAAGCAGUGGGAGCCCCACCACCAAAGCAUUCUCUGGUGUUGAAGGCCCUGCAAAGCAGCAUCGCGGUGGCGGAGCGUCGUUUGCGACGCCCAACACAAAAAACAAGCGGUGAGUGCUUUGGGGUGGGGUGACUGCGUACCUUUUGUAUAAUGGGUCAGCGACUUAUAUUCUGUAGCAAGGUUAACCGAAUAGGGGAGCCGUAGGGAAACCGAGUCUUAACUGGGCGUUAAGUUGCAGGGUAUAGACCCGAAACCCGGUGAUCUAGCCAUGGGCAGGUUGAAGGUUGGGUAACACUAACUGGAGGACCGAACCGACUAAUGUUGAAAAAUUAGCGGAUGACCUGUGGCUGGGGGUGAAAGGCCAAUCAAACCGGGAGAUAGCUGGUUCUCCCCGAAAGCUAUUUAGGUAGCGCCUCGUGAAUUCAUCUCCGGGGGUAGAGCACUGUUUCGGCUAGGGGGCCAUCCCGGCUUACCAACCCGAUGCAAACUGCGAAUACCGGAGAAUGUUAUCACGGGAGACACACGGCGGGUGCUAACGUCCGUCGUAAAGAGGGAAACAACCCAGACCGCCAGCUAAGGUCCCAAAGUCAUGGUUAAGUGGGAAACGAUGUGGGAAGGCCCAGACAGCCAGGAUGUUGGCUUAGAAGCAGCCAUCAUUUAAAGAAAGCGUAAUAGCUCACUGGUCGAGUCGGCCUGCGCGGAAGAUGUAACGGGGCUAAAC